UAUACUCCACAUAUGAGUGAAAUCAUUUGGUAUUUGUCUUUUUCCACUUGUCUUAUUUCACUGAGCAUAAUACCCUCUAGCUCCAUCCAUGUUGUUGCAAAUGGUAGGAUUUCUUUCAGAGAAGGAAAUUCUAUUAGUGUUGUCUAGUGGUAUCUUCAUUCUUAUGGAGUACAAACAUGGCUUAUUUACCUAGAUUUUGGUAUAUCACGGUAUGGUCCGCAUUAUAACCAUAUGAAGAACUUUAUAAUUCGUUUUUAAGGAUAUUUCCUUAUCUAUGUAAGAACAAGAUUGCCUUUUUAUUUCAGAAAUGUAAGUAAGGACUGACUAAUAAAAAGACUUGUGUCUCAGUAUCACAAAUUUACGGUUAAUUGGUGGCAUAAGGUUAAAUCCUGGCUCCCCGAACAAUGAUUUUCUAGUUGCAGAUUAACCAACGAAUCCAUUUCCCUGAAGAACAGGAAGUACUUGGACAUUGUUUUAUGGUUUAAGAGAGCUUCAAAGAAGCAGUCAGCAGGAGCUCCAGGAGGUGUGUGGGAAAGUGCAGUUGUUGGGAGCUGAGAUCUGGGGACCACUCCCAGUUCAGCUGUUUUUGAGCUUGAACAAGUAGUUGGGGUUCAGUUUUUCUGACUUUUAAAAGAAGAUCCUUACUAGAGAUUCAGGAUUCUAUUCUUGUCCCUAGAAUUUAACCUGAUGUCACUGAGCUGUCUUUAUUGGAGGUUACUCAUUGAGUAGUGCUGGAAUAUACCUUAAGACUUCCUAAAGGAGACAGGAGAGGGAGCGCAGAUAGAAAGAAGUAUUUGGAAACAAUCUUUUUCUAUAACAUGGUGUUAUGACCGAACGCAUGGAUGGCAGUUCUUUUUUUGGUACCAGGGUUCUAAAGAGAUUCCAUGGUACUCAUGCCCCUCUUUAUACUUUCAUUCAACUCUUGAGUAAUAAUGAUCAGGCAGGUCUGUCUUAACUGAUACUUCCAACUUUUUUCAUAUCAUGGCGCAUGUGGAAGUAACUGUAUCAUGGAGGAAAACUGGCCUGGGACUCAGAAGACAGCUGACCUGGGAGCUUGGCUGAGCCCAGUCCCCACCUGACUACCCCAGAGGAUGAGGAGAUCCCUAUCUUGUGAAGCAUUUGACCCUUAGAAAGGAUAUACCUUCUCAGAAGCAUCACAAGAGGGAACGCAGUGACAAACAAAGAAGGAAGGUAUUCUUUGCACGAAACUGGAUGGCUUCUACAGGGAGCCAGGCCUCUGAUAUAGACAAGAUUUUCGAAUUCUUCAGUGAUGGCGCACCCCCCACCAAAAAGCCCAGGUAAUCAAGAGAAGGAAAUCCA